ensembl:lncRNA
GCUAGACUCGGUACUGAGGUUGCACACUCUGGCUUGAUGGAGUGAGGAGCGCGGUAGAGCCAGUUACGGAGGACUUUUGUGAAUUUUCAGAUUCGGAACAUGAACUACAUAUCAAAAAGACAUCGGCCCAUAGAUUCAGCUAGACCAGUUCAAUAUUAAAGUGAACAGAGCAAACGGCUCCGAAAGCUUCCAUUGCCUCUGCUACAAGGACUGUGGUGAUUUGGAACGGCAUUUGAUAGCUACUGGACUUGAUUCAUCGCGGAGUUUUUGACUCCUCGUCAUGGGGUACAGUGGACAAACUGCUAGAAGUGGAAGAAGAGGAGUCGCGGGAUACUUAUUGAAGAUGAUCACCAUAUUUUUGUUUUUUCUAAUUGCCCUCGUGGAUAUCGGAGCUUCUCAAGGUAAACUAUCGAAUUUAUAGCCAUACCUGCAUGCAGAAAAAUGCUCGAGCUGAGUGUUCGAGUGUUGUCCGGAUGGCCAGUUGUGCUGCCUAUGCCAUCAAAAAGUAGAUCAUUUGUAGGCUGGAUUUUCGCAACAAAAAAAUCAUAUUUAGCCUACAUCAAGAUAAAUGGUCUACACUUGCCACUUUAUGCCCUCGACGAAAAAAGCCUAGAGUCGCAAAUAGUUUGGAAUGGAAAAAUGUAGCUAAAAUGUCAUGUCUAUGAUGGCACACCAUACGCACUGGGCUAUUCCCCCCCAUUACUCUUGUAGACUACUGUAAUGAGGUGGAUAUCAACGUUUUUAACAUGUGUUAGGCUAUGCAUUAAAAUGACACAGCUUCAAUGAAGCAUUAGUUUGGUGUAAACAGAAACAUAGUCUUGGUUGACCAUACCCAUUUUUGCUCAGUUUUGUUGUUGUUUUAUUAUGAAAGACUGGGAAGCUUAAGCUACACCUGAGUCAUAUCGUCACAAUCUUUUUCUUUAUUUUUCCCUGUCUCUCUCUCUCUUGCUCUCAAUUCAAUUCAAGGGGAAUGGGAAACAUAUGUUUACAUUGCCAAAGCAAGUGACAUAGAUAAUAAACAAAAGUGAAAUAAACAAUAAAAAAUGUACAGUAAACAUUACACUCACAAACGUUCCAAAAGAAUAAAGACAUUACAAAUGUCAUAUUAUGUCUAUACACAGUGUUGUAAUGAUGUGCAAAUAGCUGAAGUACAAAAGGG